rnacentral:rRNA from 1 species
GAGUUAUCUGAACCUUCGGGGAACGAUAACGGCGUCGAGCGGCGGACGGGUGAGUAAUGCCUAGGAAAUUGCCCUGAUGUGGGGGAUAACCAUUGGAAACGAUGGCUAAUACCGCAUGAUGCCUACGGGCCAAAGAGGGGGACCUUCGGGCCUCUCGCGUCAGGAUAUGCCUAGGUGGGAUUAGCUAGUUGGUGAGGUAAGGGCUCACCAAGGCGACGAUCCCUAGCUGGUCUGAGAGGAUGAUCAGCCACACUGGAACUGAGACACGGUCCAGACUCCUACGGGAGGCAGCAGUGGGGAAUAUUGCACAAUGGGCGCAAGCCUGAUGCAGCCAUGCCGCGUGUGUGAAGAAGGCCUUCGGGUUGUAAAGCACUUUCAGUCGUGAGGAAGGUGGUAGUGUUAAUAGCACUAUCAUUUGACGUUAGCGACAGAAGAAGCACCGGCUAACUCCGUGCCAGCAGCCGCGGUAAUACGGAGGGUGCGAGCGUUAAUCGGAAUUACUGGGCGUAAAGCGCAUGCAGGUGGUUUGUUAAGUCAGAUGUGAAAGCCCGGGGCUCAACCUCGGAAUUGCAUUUGAAACUGGCAGACUAGAGUACUGUAGAGGGGGGUAGAAUUUCAGGUGUAGCGGUGAAAUGCGUAGAGAUCUGAAGGAAUACCGGUGGCGAAGGCGGCCCCCUGGACAGAUACUGACACUCAGAUGCGAAAGCGUGGGGAGCAAACAGGAUUAGAUACCCUGGUAGUCCACGCCGUAAACGAUGUCUACUUGGAGGUUGUGGCCUUGAGCCGUGGCUUUCGGAGCUAACGCGUUAAGUAGACCGCCUGGGGAGUACGGUCGCAAGAUUAAAACUCAAAUGAAUUGACGGGGGCCCGCACAAGCGGUGGAGCAUGUGGUUUAAUUCGAUGCAACGCGAAGAACCUUACCUACUCUUGACAUCCAGAGAACUUUCCAGAGAUGGAUUGGUGCCUUCGGGAACUCUGAGACAGGUGCUGCAUGGCUGUCGUCAGCUCGUGUUGUGAAAUGUUGGGUUAAGUCCCGCAACGAGCGCAACCCUUAUCCUUGUUUGCCAGCGAGUAAUGUCGGGAACUCCAGGGAGACUGCCGGUGAUAAACCGGAGGAAGGUGGGGACGACGUCAAGUCAUCAUGGCCCUUACGAGUAGGGCUACACACGUGCUACAAUGGCGCAUACAGAGGGCGGCCAACUUGCGAAAGUGAGCGAAUCCCAAAAAGUGCGUCGUAGUCCGGAUUGGAGUCUGCAACUCGACUCCAUGAAGUCGGAAUCGCUAGUAAUC